rnacentral:rRNA from 1 species
AUUGAACGCUGGCGGCAUGCCUUACACAUGCAAGUCGAACGGCAGCACGGGAGCAAUCCUGGUGGCGAGUGGCGAACGGGUGAGUAAAGUAUCGGAACGUGCCCAGUCGUGGGGGAUAACGUAGCGAAAGUUACGCUAAUACCGCAUACGAUCUAUGGAUGAAAGCGGGGGAUCGCAAGACCUCGCGCGAUUGGAGCGGCCGAUAUCAGAUUAGGUAGUUGGUGGGGUAAAGGCUCACCAAGCCGACGAUCUGUAGCUGGUCUGAGAGGACGACCAGCCAGACUGGGACUGAGACACGGCCCAGACUCCUACGGGAGGCAGCAGUGGGGAAUUUUGGACAAUGGGCGAAGGCCUGAUCCAGCCAUGCGGCGUGCAGGAUGAAGGCCUUCGGGUUGUAAACUGCUUUUGUACGGAACGAAAAGGUUUGGCCUAAUAAGCUGAGCUCAUGACGGUACCGUAAGAAUAAGCACCGGCUAACUACGUGCCAGCAGCCGCCGUAA